UCCGGUUGAUCCUGCCGGACCCGACUGCUAUUUGGGUGAGAAUAAGCCAUGCGAGUCGAAUGGGAUACCUAAAUCUCCCAUGGCAAACUGCUCAGUAACACAUGAUCAACUUACCCUACAGAGAAAAAUAACCUCGGGAAACUGAGGAUAAUGUUUCAUAGUUGAAUAGGCUUGGAAAAGUUUUUCAAUAAAAGGGAUAAGGAAAAUGGUCCUUAUCCGCUAUAGGAUAGGAUCGUGUUCGAUUAUGGUUGUUGGUGAGGUAACGGCUCACCAAGCCGAUAAUCGAUAGGGGCCGUGAGAGCGGGAGCCCCGAGAUGGGUACUGAGACAACGACCCAGGCCUUACGAGGCGCAGCAGGCGCGGAACCUCCGCAAUACACGAAAGUGUGACGGGGUUACCCAAAGUGCUCUUUCUAGAGCUGUGGUAGGUGAGUAAUGUUCCCUACUAGAAAGGAGAGGGCAAGGCUGGUGCCAGCCGCCGCGGUAAAACCAGCUCUUCAAGUGGUCGGGAUAAUUAUUGGGCUUAAAGUGUCCGUAGCCGGUUUAGAAAGUUCCUGGUAAAAUCGGGUAGCUUAACUAUCCGUAUGCUAGGAAUACUGCUAUACUAGAGGGCGGGAGAGGUCUGAGGUACUACAGGGGUAGGGGUGAAAUCUUAUAAUCCUUGUAGGACCACCAGUGGCGAAGGCGUCAGACUGGAACGCGCCUGACGGUGAGGGACGAAAGCCAGGGGAGCAAACCGGAUUAGAUACCCCUGUAGUCC
rnacentral:rRNA from 1 species